rnacentral:tRNA from 1 species
GAGCCAUUAGCUCAGUCGGUAGAGCAUCUGACUUUUAAUCAGAGGGUCGGAGANCGGUAGAGCAUCUGACUUUUAAUCAGAGGGUCGGAGGUUCGAAUCCUCCAUGGCUCA